rnacentral:rRNA from 1 species
UACGAAGGGGGCUAGCGUUGCUCGGAUUGACUGGGCGUAAAGGGCGCGUAGGCGGUUCGUACAGUCAGACGUGAAAUUCCUGGGCUCAACCUGGGGGCUGCGUUUGAUACGUGCGGACUUGAGUGCGGAAGAGGGUCGUGGAAUUCCCAGUGUAGAGGUGAAAUUCGUAGAUAUUGGGAAGAACACCGGUGGCGAAGGCGGCGACCUGGCCCGGUACUGACGCUGAGGUGCGAAAGCGUGGGGAGCAAACAGG